rnacentral:rRNA from 1 species
UACGGAGGGGGCUAGCGUUGGUCGGAAUUACUGGGCGUAAAGCGCACGUAGGCGGCUUUGUAAGUCAGAGGUGAAAGCCCGGAGCUUAACUCCGGAAUAGCCUUUGAGACUGCAUCGCUUGAAUCCGGGAGAGGUGAGUGGAAUUCCGAGUGUAGAGGUGAAAUUCGUAGAUAUUCGGAAGAACACCAGUGGCGAAGGCGGCUCACUGGACCGGUAUUGACGCUGAGGUGCGAAAGCGUGGGGAGCAAACAGG